rnacentral:rRNA from 1 species
UACGUAGGGACCGAGCGUUGUCCGGAUUUAUUGGGCGUAAAGAGCUCGUAGGCGGUUAUCCACGUCGGAUGUGAAAGCUCAGGGCUCAACCCUGAGAUGCCAUUCGAUACGGGAUAGCUAGAGGUAGGUAGGGGAAAGUGGAAUUCCUGGUGUAGCGGUGAAAUGCGCAGAUAUCAGGAGGAACACCGGUGGCGAAGGCGGCUUUCUGGGCCUUACCUGACGCUGAGGAGCGAAAGCUGGGGGAGCAAACAGG